rnacentral:lncRNA from 1 species
CUGGUGGUUGGAUGGAAAUAGCAAAGAUGUGAAAGUGUUGCUUGGAGAGUGAAGAUGGAAGUGAUGAAGUGAAGUGAGAAUGGGUGGAGAGGGCCACACCCGAACCCCUGGUAUUUAUAGUUUGAAAAUGCAGGUGGAUUCGGGGUGAGGGCAACGGCUAGGAGCCUCCCCCAGCUGGCCGUUGGCCAGAACCGUUGGGGGGGGGUCGGCCGACCCUAGGGGCGGCCGCCCCCUGGUGGGCCCCGCUGCUCCCCAGCUUUUGUCUCCAUCUUCCAAUGGCU